rnacentral:rRNA from 1 species
CUACGGGAUGCUCCAGUAAGGAAUAUUGGUCAAUGGACGGAAGUCUGAACCAGCCAUGCCGCGUGGAGGAUGAAGGUCCUCUGGAUUGUAAACUUCUUUUAUAGGGGGCGAAAAAAGGCCAUUCUUGGUCGUCUGACGGUACCCUAUGAAUAAGCACCGGCUAACUCCGUGCCAGCAGCCGCGGUAAUACGGAGGGUGCAAGCGUUAUCCGGAUUCACUGGGUUUAAAGGGAGCGUAGGCGGGCAUGUAAGUCCGUGGUGAAAGCCCUCAGCUUAACUGAGGAACUGCCAUGGAUACUAUAUGUCUUGAAUGAUGUGGAGGUUUGCGGAAUAGGUCAUGUAGCGGUGAAAUGCUUAGAUAUGACCUAGAACACCUAUUGCGAAGGCAGCAGGCUACACAUAAAUUGACGCUGAGGCUCGAAAGCGUGGGGAUCAAACAGGAUUAGAUACCCCCGUAGUC